ACUAAGUGGCAUAAUGUUGGCACAUUUGCGUAGUAAUCUCAUUGAGCUUCAGUAUUCUUAUUUAUAAAACCCGAGUGUACCCUAUUAAUAAGUUUAAG
ensembl:snoRNA